rnacentral:rRNA from 1 species
AGCGAACGCUGGCGGCAGGCCUAACACAUGCAAGUCGAACGGAUCCUUCGGGAUUAGUGGCGGACGGGUGAGUAACACGUGGGAACGUGCCCUUUGGUUCGGAACAACUCAGGGAAACUUGAGCUAAUACCGGAUGUGCCCUUCGGGGGAAAGAUUUAUCGCCAUUGGAGCGGCCCGCGUCUGAUUAGCUAGUUGGUGGGGUAAAGGCCCACCAAGGCGACGAUCAGUAGCUGGUCUGAGAGGAUGAUCAGCCACAUUGGGACUGAGACACGGCCCAAACUCCUACGGGAGGCAGCAGUGGGGAAUCUUGCGCAAUGGGCGAAAGCCUGACGCAGCCAUGCCGCGUGAAUGAUGAAGGUCUUAGGAUUGUAAAAUUCUUUCACCGGGGACGAUAAUGACGGUACCCGGAGAAGAAGCUCCGGCUAACUUCGUGCCAGCCGCCGCAGUAACAC